CUACGGGAGGCAGCAGUCGAGAAUUUUUCACAAUGGGCGAAAGCCUGAUGGAGCGACGCCGCGUGAAGGAUGAAGUAUUUCGGUAUGUAAACUUCGAAAGAAUAGGAAGAAUAAAUGACGGUACUAUUUAUAAGCUCCGGCUAACUACGUGCCAGCAGCCGCGGUAAUACGUAGGGAGCAAGCGUUGUUCGGAUUUACUGGGCGUAAAGGGCGCGUAGGCGGCGCGGUAAGUCACUUGUGAAAUCUCUGAGCUUAACUCAGAACGGCCAAGUGAUACUGCAGUGCUAGAGUGCAGAAAGGGCAAUCGGAAUUCUUGGUGUAGCGGUGAAAUGCGUAGAUAUCAAGAGGAACACCUGAGGCGAAGGCGGGUUGCUAGGCUGACACUGACGCUGAGGCACGAAAGCGUGGGGAGCAAACGGGAUUAGAAACCCCGGUAGUCC
rnacentral:rRNA from 1 species